GAUGAACGCUGGCGGCGUGCCUAAUACAUGCAAGUCGAGCGAAUGGAUUGAGAGCUUGCUCUUAUGAAGUUAGCGGCGGACGGGUGAGUAACACGUGGGUAACCUGCCCAUAAGACUGGGAUAACUCCGGGAAACCGGGGCUAAUACCGGAUAACAUUUUGAACCGCAUGGUUCGAAAUUGAAAGGCGGCUUCGGCUGUCACUUAUGGAUGGACCCGCGUCGCAUUAGCUAGUUGGUGAGGUAACGGCUCACCAAGGCAACGAUGCGUAGCCGACCUGAGAGGGUGAUCGGCCACACUGGGACUGAAACACGGCCCAGACUCCUGCGGGAGGCAGCCGUAGGGAAUCUUCCGCAAGGGACGAAAGUCUGACGGAGCAACGCCGCGUGAGUGAUGAAGGCUUUCGGGUCGUAAAACUCUGUUGUUAGGGAAGAACAAGUGCUAGUUGAAUAAGCUGGCACCUUGACGGUACCUAACCAGAAAGCCACGGCUAACUACGUGCCAGCCGCCGCAGUAA
rnacentral:rRNA from 1 species